rnacentral:rRNA from 1 species
CUACGAAAGGUGCAAGCGUUGUUCGGAUUUACUGGGCGUAAAGAGAUCGUAGGUGGUUUAUUAAGUCGGAUGUGAAAUCCCGGGGCUCAACCCCGGAACUGCAUUCGAUACUGGCAGACUAGAGUUUGGGAGGGGUAAGCGGAAUUCCGUGUGUAGCAGUGAAAUGCGUAGAUAUAAGGAGGAACACCUGAGGCGAAGGCGGCUUACUGGACCAAUACUGACACUCAGGAUCGAAAGCGUGGGUAGCAAACGGGAUUAGAAACCCUUGUAGUCC